AUGAAAAGAUCCGUCCUUCGUCACUUUCCCAACGCGUUGCUCUCUUUCUUCCCUCCUUCCUUCCCUCCCCGCUUUCUGACUUUUGGAAACCCUCAGAAAGAGGCUGACCAAACAUCGUUAGCAAAUAUCCGUCCAAGGCGUUGGCACUUUAAAAACCUGAGAAAAACAGGGCGACGUUGCCCCUUCCCGCCCUUAUUCCUCCCCCCGGUAAGAAUUGCCGUCCGUCUCAGGGAACUGCGCCCGAGGCAUGAGGGGCGCCUCCAGGAGACGUCACUGAAGCCGCUGCCUUACCCCUGGCGGCAGGGCAAGGCUUGCUGGGAUAGCAUCCGGGAACCACAACAGUCCCCCAUUCCAGCAGUUGAAGCCGGAGGGGAGAGCGUGCGGUGGGGCUUGCCUCCAUACCCCAACAGGGGGAAUCUGCUGAACUUUGGCCUCCCCCGUGCUUGCACAGGCAAGCUUCCGUUUAUGCCCAGUGCCCAGAGAGGAGGACGGCGGCGGCGGCGGCGGCGGCCGGUUGCUGGAGAGGUGCGGGCGCGUGUGUAUGUGAGAGAGCGGUGCUGCACGUCAGGGGCUUGGAGUUUGAAAUAACAAGUCUUUCAUUGAAAUGACUCCAGUGCUGUAGCCACCCAAUCUCAGCUUCAGUCUUCUCUUCAGUAUGAGAAUAAUGAUAAUGACUUGCUUCACAUACAGUAGCUAUCCUGAGGACUACAGGACCAUAAGGUAUAUGAGGCACCUUUAGCCACAGAGAAACCAAAAUGGAAAGCAACAAGUCCCAUUUUCUGAUUAGUUAGUUUUGCAGAGCAGAAGUGUGUGCUGCUAUAGAAAUUAGCAAAGAUGUCCAACAUAUUUACACAUUUGUGAUUUGUUUGGAUACUAGCAUAACCACUCUUAGUGUCUUACUGCGGAGGGUGGGUGGGGGUGGAAUCAAUCUUUGUUAAUUUGUAAGCAUUUAAAAAUACUUCUACCAAUUUAAAUUUUAGUGUUCUUGCAGGCUGAAGGGGGCUGUGGCUGAUAGUGUCAUACAACAACCAGUUCUGCAAUGUGUUUUAAUGUUCUGCUGCUGCAAGCAGGGAAUCUGAAAAUGGGCAUCAUAUCUGCACGUCAAGGGCAUCGCUAACAACAGCUUUAAAUAUUAAAUAGCAUUCUUUCCUAUGAUAGCACAGAUCAACACGAGAGAAGAUACUUUUUGUCAGCAUUUUUAUAACAUUACAUAAAAUCCCUGCAUUAUAGGUUGAACGCAUAUGAGAACUAGCAUUUUUAAUGUCUACCUAGGGUGAUUUGGGGACUUUUCUCUGUCUAGUGUACAAGAAAACAAUAUAAAUAAAUAAAUAAAUAAAUAAAUAAAUAAAUAAAUA
rnacentral:lncRNA from 1 species